UUUGCAGGGAAAAAAAAGAAAAAGAAAAUUCAUAUUUCACAUCAGAUGUUUUAUUUUUUUUUAAGCAAGAAACAAAAGAACUACAAUUACUAACCUGGCUUAGAGGCUAUGGUCAUAUUACAAAGCACACCCAAGUUUCAGGCAAAUUAUUCUAAUUCAAGAAAGCAACAAUCUUUUUCUCCAUGGCCACAGCAUUGUCGCAAGUGGGAUUGAUCCAAUGGAACACAUGCCCCUCCCCCUCUGCUUCUAUGACCUCCACAUCCCCAUUCCACCCGCUCCUUUUCAGUGUCUCACUAUAAUGCCAUCCUCUAUCUUUCAACACAUCUUUCUCAGCAACACAAACCAGCACUUUCUCACAACCCAAUUUACCCAAUUUCUGAUCCUUAGCCGGGUUUAUAAGCGGGUCGUCGGAUCCACUAGUCGAAGGGCAAGCAAAACGCCACACACCAGCCAUAUAAUCUCUUGCAGCUGCCGGAGUAGUUAACUCAUCCCCAACUGGCUCUGUGCCCCAAAAGUAUGGAUGCACCAAGACAAUCCCAAUCAACUUAAUACCAACCAAUCCCUCACACCCCAAUUCACAGCCAUGUUGUGCGUUAUAUUAGCCCCAGCACUGUUCCCAGCGAAAAACACUCGUUGGAAAUCUGCAAAUCUAUUUAGCCAUCUUCAAGCCGUUUCCAUGGGAAUGGAGGCAACCCAUUUGAGAGCAGCCAUGAAUCAUCGUAAGCAGCUGGCAGAGGGUGCUCUGGGACAAGCCUAUAGUCAACAGAGACGGCAACAACAUUGGCCUCAGAGACUAAGGCGUUGAGGUAGUUGUGAUGUGUGCGAGAAGAUGAACUUCGAAUGCAGAAGCCGCCUCCAUGAAAGUAAAUGAGAAGAGGAAGUUUGGUUUGGGGUGCGCUUGUGGUGGUGGAUUUUGGGAUGUAAAGCCUUGCAGAUAUGGCUGGUUCUUGUGAGAUCACAACGUCUUUUGAUUGGACGCCAGUUUUGGGAUCUGUUGAUGGAGGAACUGUGUCUGUGCCUCUGAGUCUUUCAACUCGACCAUCUUUGUAUACUUUAAUCAUCGGAGAGAAAUCAUAGGCUAAUUCUUCGUUGCUCAUGAUUUGAGGUGAACAAGGAAGAGAAGAGAAUAAGAAACAAGCAACUAUGGAGGCCUCUGUCUCCUCUGUUUUUCUUAUGCAGAUAGCAGAGUUCAGAGCAGGAGCAAAAUUUAUGGUUAUGACGUUGGGGACUUGAAGGGCUUAAUGCACCACUUAAAUUUAUUCUAAUGAAACAAAUUGGUUGUUGUUAGACAUUUUUGUCAAAAGAGACAGACAAGACAAGUCCUUUCAGAUAUAUAUAAUUUCUCCUAUCACAAAAGCUACCUUUGAUAAAUAUAUGAAUAAAACUCAUCCAAGUUAAUAUCCCCAUCUCUUUUCCUUUUUUUAAAUAAUAAAAAAAGAAAAAAAGUAUCCCCAUCAAUUGAAAAUUCUUCUUGAUAACAGUUAUGCCCUAGAGGAAGAAGAGUUCCAAAUACUUAUUAACAUGCAGGAUGUGUCGAAGCAAACGGGAUCGUAUUGCACUGAGCAGGGGGCUGUGGAGGUCAUGGAGGGCAAAGGAUCCAUUUGAACAAACCCAUGUCCGGACGUAGAGAAUUUGAGUUUGAGUUACUACGAUAGAAUAGAAGUCAUGAAUGGGACAAAUAUAUUCUCACAUCAGGUAGGUGGGCUACUGCCAAUUGCACCGAGGUCUUGGAGAAAGUAGUGGGCCCUACAGGUCUGUUAUACAAAACACGUUUUUGCAAGGGCCAUGGAUAGACCCAGCAGGCACGUUUGACUGAUCGCCAUUGUAUACAAGGGGCUUAGAAUGACUUGUGUGGUUUACCUUUUUCUUAUAUAAAGUUUGAGUGUUCAAAAGGCUUUGGUCAUAUUACUCAGCAAACCAAAGUCUCAGGCAAAUUAUUCUAAUUUAAGAAAGCAACAAUCUUUUUCUCCAGGGCCACAGCAUUGUCACAAGUUGGAUCUUCCAAAUGGAACACACGCACCUCCCCCAUUGGUUCUAUGAGCUCCACAACUCCUUUCCACCCACUCUCUCUCUCAGUAUCUCACUGUAAUACAAUCCUCUAUCUUUCUCAGCAACAAAAACCAGCACUUUCACACAACCCAAUUCCCCCAACUUCGAACCCUUACCCAGGUUGAAAAACGGGUCAUCGGAUCCACUAGUCGAAGGGUAAGUAAACGCCACAAUGCAGAAAUGAACACUCUUCCAGCUGCAGGGGCAGUUGAUUCUUCCCCCACUGGCUCUGUGCCCAAAAUAAGGAUGCACCAACACAAUCCCAAUCAGAUAACUCCAGCCAAUCCCUCACACCUUCAAAGCCAUGUUGUGUGCUAAUUUACCCCCUGCACUGUCCCCAGCCAAUCCCAAUCAGAUCAGAGAAUACAAUUGGUCACUUUUGUGGAAUAAGAAAACAAAGUAUAUAAAAGCAUAUUGAUAAAAAUUGGAAGUAAAAAAAAAAAGGGUGCUAGAAGGAAUCAUUGGAUCUAUCUAGGUCCAAAGACCUAUUACUAAAGUAGUGCAGUUUGAGCCUUGAAUCGCUGAGUUCUUUAGUAUAGAUAUAUAUAAUUUUUUUGAUAUUGUUGAUCUUGUUGCCAUUGUUGUUUGGGUUCUUGAAAUGUGGAGAGCCAAUGCGAAGAAGAAAAACUUGAUUUGGUUAAACUGAAUGCGUAUUUCCUAUAUUAUUUCAUGUUUUUCUUUUAUCUUUUAAGAUAAUGUGUUGUCAAUGUAACCCCAUUUCCGAACAUAGAGAUUUUGAGUUUGAG
rnacentral:lncRNA from 1 species